UUGAUAAACUGAAGCAAAGUUUUUCCUGCCUACCAACCUCCUGGAAUUUCUGGAACUUCAUCUACUGUGGUCAUACCCUUCACCACCCAGUGAAACCUAGUUAAUAAGAUAUUUUAAAGAGGUCAAUUGAUAAACUGAAGCAAAGUUUUUCCUGCCUACCAACCUCCUGGAAUUUCUGGAACUUCAUCUACUGUGGUCAUACCCUUCACCACCCAGUGAAACCUAGUUAAUAAGAUAUUUUAAAGAGGUCAAUUGAUAAACUGAAGCAAAGUUUUUCCUGCCUACCAACCUCCUGGAAUUUCUGGAACUUCAUCUACUGUGGUCAUACCCUUCACCACCCAGUGAAACCUAGUUAA